rnacentral:pre_miRNA from 13 species
UGCUCCUCUCCGCGUUUCUGUUUCUUGCAGUCAGUAACAAAGAUUCAUCCUUGUGUCCUGUAAGCAACAGGGAGGGUCUUUGUCACUGAGUGCAAUUAAUGGUGGCCGACAGACCAGGAAG